CGCACCCCUCCCCGCCUGCUGCCAGCAGGUCAGAGGUCAAGCUGCGUCCGCGCCGCCGCACUGGCCUCCGAAGUCGCCAGCGCCAUGUUUAAUGAGGGCAACAACCUGCUUUCCGUACACCAGCGUGGGGCGGGUUGGGGGAGACAUCCUGUCCUGCGUGCGCAUCUGAAAGGCCGGGACCCACUGGAGGAACUCCACUGACGGCGUCGUACAAGUCCAGUAGCUUAACUGUCCGUUAAAUGAUGAAUGAGUUAACGAAUUUCGGCUGCGAACUUGCACACUCGUCGCCUGGCUCCUCCCUGCAGCACUUGGAGACAGAUCCCUGGGAUUGGUGGUGUUUUAUUCCCUGGGGCAUCCGGGUAGGUUCGGGCUGUGGACACUCAUACCGCUCAGCCACAGAGGAAGUCCAGCUGGACUGGCCACCCUCCUCUCAGCUCCACCUGCCGGAUAUCGACCCGGCAGACUGGUGUGCUGUGAGAAAAUCCUGCUCGACGGAAGAACACUGAAGGACCAACUGGUCUGCAGCCCACCCACAGGACUAAAUACGGCUUCCUUGCUUCCUGAUCCGGACACGGACAUUCCUCUUCAUGACUGCCAGCAGAUUUUGGCGACUGAUCAGGGGUAGAGAAAGGACUUAAUUGACCAGCCCCUGCCAGAUGCAGACGUAACAUGGUUCACAGAUGGGAGCAGCUUCUUAAGGGAUGGACAAAGGAGGGCAGGAGCAGCAGUAGUGGACAGAGAACAAAUAAUAUGGGCUAAAGCCUUGCCACCCAGCACCGCUGCUCAGAAAGCAGAACUAAUUGCUUUAACUCGAGCCCUCAACCUAGGAAAGGACAGAAAAAUUAAUAUCUACACUGAUAGAUAUUCCUUUGCCACAGCCAACAUGCACAGGGCCAUCUACUAACAAAGAUAACCUCAAAGGGAAAAGAAAUCAAAAAUAAGGGAGAAAUAACUAAGCUGCUAGAUGCACUCUCUGCCCAAUAAGAUAAGCAUCAUCCACUGCCCAGGGCACCAAAAAGGAGACUCCCCAAUAGUCCGGGGAAACAAUAUGGCAGAUCGAGCUGCAAGGACAAUUGCCAGUCAACGUUCGACCCCCAUCCUGGUGACUGGGGUCACGGAAAAACUGAAAAACGACUGGACCAAAGGAUGGCCUGACCUGCAAUACUCAACUGAGGAAGAAAACCUCAUCUCUCAGUACCCCACCAACUACAAGACCAAGCAAGGAUAUUGGAAGACACAGAAGGGAGAGACCAUACUUCCCAAAGAUGCUGCCUUGGACCUGAUGCACAGGUGGACACACUUGGGACAGAAGAAAUUAGUUGAAGCUGUUAAAGGAUCUCAGGUAUUUGUUCAGGACUGAGAACUUUGGUAGACCGAGUAGUAAAUAAAUGCCAGGUUUGUGCUCAGGUAAAUGCCUGCAGAUCUCAGACUAAACCUGGUAAGAGACCUAGAGGAAACUGUCCAGGCAUAUUUUGGGAGGUAGACCUCACAGAAAUAAAACCUGGUAAAUAUGGCUAUAAAUACCUGUUUUAUAGAUACCUUUUCAGGAUGGGUGGGAGCCUUCCCCAUCAAGCACAAGACUGCGUCGAUAGUGGCUAAAAAAAAUACUGGAAGAAAUCUUCCCCAGGUUUGGGAUUCCACAGGUAAUGGGGUCAGAUAACGGGCCUGCUUUUACUACCCAGGUAAGUCAGGACUUAGCUAAGGUGUUGGGGACCAGUUGGAAGUUACAUUGGGCUUAUCAUCCCCAAAGUUCAGGACAGGUAGAAAGAAUGAACAGAACUAUAAAAGAAACCCUGACUACUUUGACCUUGGAGACUGGCUUAGACUGGUGGUGUUCCUUCCCUUGGCCCUGUUCCGAGCCCAGAACACCCCUAUAGGCUUAAACUAACUCCUUUUGAAAUUAUGUACGGGUCACCAGCCCCCUUGGUGGCCACAGGACCAGAUUUAGACUUGACUUUGGAUUCAGACCGGGCGAUUGCUGCCAGGCUGGUUGCCCUGCAGACUACACAGAGGGAUAUCUGGUCUCAACUAUCCGCCCUUUAUGCUCCAGUCACCACCAAUGUUCCCCACCAGUUCCAGCCCAGGGACAUUGUCUGAGUGUGAAGGCAUCGAGCCCAUUCUCUGGAACCUCUCUGGAAGGGGCCAUACACUGUGCUCCUGACCACCCCGACGGAACUAACGGUGGACGGAGUAACUGCCUGGGUACACGCAUCCCAUGGCAAGCCAGCUCCCCCUGCCACAGAAGACUGGAGAGCCAUAAAGACCAACAACCCCUUGAAGCUGAGGCUCCGGAAGGAACAGCUAUGAUCUGGAUCCCUGCAAUCAGUGCUCUCCUGACCGUGUGUACUGCAGACUACCACUCCCUUAUCCCCCACAACCCACACACCCCACAACAUCUCAAAUGGGAACUUGGAGAUCAAUACGGAAUGACCCUUUCUCACGAUUCUAAAAUAGCUACCCCCAGAACUUUGUUCCCAGAACUCAGACUCAAACUCAUGGGUUAUUUACAUAUGGAAUGGAGGAAAAAUGACAACCACCUAUAGGGUAGAGGGUUACAAAGUAGACUACUAUGCUUGCCCCAGUAACGUUAGAGGGCCCCCUUAGCAAAAACGUGAUUGUGGCACAGUAAAUGAUUUUUACUGUGGUGCCUAGGACUGCGAAACCCAGGGCCCAUGGCUUGAUGAGCCAAAACCAGAGGCCUUAAUACACAUCAAAAGAGAUCCCACAUAUAAGGACGUUUGUGGCACAAGGCUUGAAAAUGGUAACCUCCCUUACAGCGUUGUUCUUGAUUCCCGGAGGAACAUAAGGAGCAAUUGCAAUUGGCUUCUAGUAACCUUUACUGAAUUAGGAAAAACUUAUGAUUGGACAAAAGGCCAUGAUUUUGGCAUCAGAGUAAGAGAUUCUAGGAUCCUGGGUGGGAGCUCUCAGAAUUCUAUUAGAAGUAACCCCCUUGACCCCUCAAGAAAUGGGACCUAACAUAGUCUCAUUUCCUCGUAAACCUCCUCCUCAGCCUGUCCCUGUACAACCCACUGCUCAGAGGGCCGCACCCAUACAAUCUACUCUGGUUCCUCUAACCCAGGCCCCACAUCCGACUCCAACUAGUACCCCAACCAUUGAAGAGGAUCCCCUCUGGGCCUACGAGGCCCUAAACAACACAAACCCUAAUAUGACAAAGUCCUGCUGGCUUUGUUAUGGAGUUAAUCCUCCUUUCUAUGAAGGGGUUGCUCUUAACGCAUCCCACCUAAUCAAUGCUACUAGUCCAGACAGCUGCCGCUGGCAUCCAUCAAAAACCCGGUUGUCACGGGAUCAGGAACUUGCAUUGAAAGGCAGCACCCAGCCACCAGGCUCUGUUCUUCCUUCUUACAUGUCCCUGGUGGGUCAGAUGUGUAUCUGCUUCCUCCCAAUCAUAGUUGGUGGGCCUGCCAUUCAGGAUUAACCCCUUGCGUGCACACUCAGGUUCUCCAAAAGAGCAAUGAAGUCUGUGUACUGGUCCAAGUAAUGCCCAAGAUCAUCUACUAUCCUUACAAGGAAAUCUUAAGUCACCGGGACACCAAAAAUGACCUGGAUAGACUAAAGAGGGAGAUAGCCACUGCUAUAACCCUUACCCUGCUCUUGGGCUUAGGCCUCACUGGGGCAGCCACAGGAGUGACUUCUUCAGUUCUCCAGGACCACAAAUACAGUAGCCUUAAAACAGCAAUAGAUGAAGACAUUCAAAAAUUAGGACAGUCAAUUUCCAACUUAGAAGAGUCUUUAACUUCCUUGUCAGAAGUCCUACAAAAUAGAAGAGGGUUAGUUGUGCUCUUCCUAAAGGAGGGUGGACUUUGUGCAGCCUUAAGAGAGGAAUGUUGUGUAUACAUAGAUCACUCAGGGGUGAUCAAAGAUGCUAUGACAAAAGUUUGGGAGGGAUUAGCUAAAAGAAAGAGAAUGAGAAGCCAACCAAAGCUGGUCUGAAUCUUGGUUUAAUAGUUCACCCUGGUUCACUACACUGGUGUCAACUUUAAUGGGACCUUUAAUCAUUUUAUUUCUCCUUCUGACCUUCAGAUCCUGUAUUCUAAACCACUUGGUUGCAUUCGUUAAUGAAAGAAUUAAUACAGUACAAAUACUUAUGCCAAGACAACACUAUCAAAGAAUAUACAAGACUGAGACUGAAGCAUAAGACCAAAAUAAGGUCUGAGAAAAUUAAAAGCCAAUGUUGUUAGGAUUUUGGAAUGAAACCUGCUUCUGGGUUGCCUAGCAACUUAUGAUGUCAUCAUGUGUCGACGGACAGGUAGCCACACCUGGAAGGCGUGGUUACCUUGCCCCUUAAAAGGGCAACCUGACACGUGGUCACUCUCUUGGUCCUUCCUCUCUAUCGGGCGUCUCCUCUCUCUUCCCCCUUCUCUGUCUUUCCCCCAUCCUGUCCUGCUCUCCCCUUCUCUCUCCACAUCCAUCUAAUAAACCUCUUUUAUAUACAAGAUCUGUCACAUGCCCAGUCGUCUUUAAUUUUGUCCCAUAACCUUACAGAUGUAACUGCUCCUUGUCUUCUCCCCAACCCUGACUAGCAUUUUAGCCUUUCUAGCCCAUGAUGUCAACAUUCUACUUGUCAGCUUCCAGAAUAUGGACCUCCAGCCCCUUAUCCCACUUUACAGGCUGAGAUGCUAAACCAAAAGGGGAACUUUGAGACUAAUCCCCAUUCUACAGCUGCUUCAUGAUUGAAGCAGAUACUAGAAGGAGGAGGAAUGAAAGAAUCAGACUAGCCUUAUAACUUAUAUUUUUGAAUUCUCUUAGUACUCUUCCAGAGAACAGGAGAAUGUAAUAGCCCCUCCUGACCCUAGCCAUUUGUAUGGACAGAGAUAAGAAGACCUCCACUCAGUUCCAGAAGGAAAUAGUAUUGGAUCCAGAUGAUCCUAAUUCCCCUCCCAAAUAGCCCCUGACCUUCUGACCUUUUGACUAAAGGCAUGAAGCCCCGUUUCUCAGAGACCACAGGAUGAGCAAAUUGCUUUCCCCACCUUUAACAAUGGUCUAGUCUGACCACAAGAUGUACUGAUCCUUUUCCCACCUUUAACAAUAGCUGAAUCUGCACAUAACAGAAAACAACAGAUAUACCCCAGAUAUCUAGCUGACCAGACCUGAUACCCACAAUAGACCCUAUAUCCACUCCCAUGAUGUCAGACCUGUAACCUCCUUGUCUACCCCUUUAAAAACUAGAAGCUACCCAGAGUUGAUGCUGACUCUAGCCUGUGUCAGGAGUUAGCCCCAGCACACUGAUGUAAAUAAAACAUCUUCUUAAUUACAGCAAUUCCUGGCCUCAGAGUCUCCUUUGCAAACCUCCAGGGAGUUAGACCCCUUGGUUUGGGCCUUUCACAAACAAUUUAAUUUCCAAAACCAAUACCAAUUUAAAAUGAGACUUGUCUUUUCAGUCUAUAAAGGAAACACAAUUUAUGUUAACUAAGAGGUUUUAUAAUAAUUUUUAACCCAUAGCAUGUAGCAAAGAUGGCAGAGUCAUAUCAUAUGUGUUUUAAACUUGUGUUUAUAGACCUUAUAAACAUAUAUGCAUAUUUAUGUUCUAAACAACAGUUUGAAUAUAACUUUAAAAUAUAUUUAAUUACUUUUGAUCUAUAACCUAGAUAUAUAUUAACCAUUUAAGAUCAGUCCAACAUAAACAUAUAAUGGCCAUAUAUUUAAACACACAGAUAAAACUUUUUUUUCUGUCUGUUUGGCUGCUCUAAUUUCCCCAAGUAACUCUUUUAGUUUGUGAGAUUUUUUUUUUCAUUUUAAUCUUUACCCCCCACGUCUUUAAAGCAUCUUUUAAUCCUUCUACAAAGGUCUCAUGCUUACUCAUUUCUUGUCCCAUGAUCGCUGAUUACUUACCGGACCAUACCUGU